rnacentral:rRNA from 1 species
UACGGAGGGUGCAAGCGUUGUCCGGAUUCAUUGGGCGUAAAGAGCGUGUAGGCGGCCAGGUAGGUCGGUUGUGAAAACUGGAGGCUCAACCUUCAGAGGUCGACCGAAACCAUCUGGCUAGAGUCCGGGAGAGGAGAGUGGAAUUCCUGGUGUAGCGGUGAAAUGCGCAGAUAUCAGGAAGAACACCCGUGGCGAAGGCGGCUCUCUGGGACGGUACUGACGCUGAGACGCGAAAGCGUGGGGAGCGAACAGG